rnacentral:sRNA from 1 species
AUGAAAGCUGCUGGACUGAAAUGUUCUAUCCACAGCACAGGUACAGCAUAAGCAGUUGCAAUUCAGGCUUCCUUAGCACUGCCCAGCCUAUGGCACUUCAGCCUUAAACUUGAUGGAACAACAGUAGGGCUGUGAACGCAGUUCACGAGCUGAGCCUAUUCAAUGCUGGUCUCUA